GAGUUCUGGUUCAGGAUGAACGCUAGCGACAGGCUUAACACAUGCAAGUCGAGGGCAGCAUAAAAGUAGCAAUACUUGGUGGCGACCGGCGCACGGGUGAGUAACGCGUAUGCAACCUACCUAUCAGAGGGGAAUAACCCGGCGAAAGUCGGACUAAUACCGCAUAAAACAGGGGCACCGCAUGGUGAUAUUUGUUAAAGAAAUUCGCUGAUAGAUGGGCAUGCGUUCCAUUAGGUAGUUGGUGAGGUAACGGCUCACCAAGCCGACGAUGGAUAGGGGAACUGAGAGGUUGGUCCCCCACACUGGUACUGAGACACGGACCAGACUCCUACGGGAGGCAGCAGUGAGGAAUAUUGGUCAAUGGGCGGGAGCCUGAACCAGCCAAGUCGCGUGAAGGAAGAAGGAUCUAUGGUUCGUAAACUUCUUUUGCAGGGGAAUAAAGUGCAGGACGUGUCCUGUUUUGUAUGUACCCUGAGAAUAAGGAUCGGCUAACUCCGUGCCAGCCGCCGC
rnacentral:rRNA from 1 species